GACAGAGGGUGCAAACGUUGUUCGGAAUUACUGGGCGUAAAGCGCGUGUAGGCGGCUUCGCAAGUCGGAUGUGAAAUCCCACGGCUCAACCGUGGAAGUGCAUUCGAAACUGCAAGGCUAGAGUUCUGGAGAGGAAGGUGGAAUGCUUGGUGUAGAGGUGAAAUUCGUAGAUAUCAAGCGGAACACCGGUGGCGAAGGCGGC
rnacentral:rRNA from 1 species